UACAGAGGGGGCAAGCGUUGUUCGGAAUUACUGGGCGUAAAGGGCGCGUAGGCGGCCAACUAAGUCAGACGUGAAAUCCCCUGGCUCAACCAGGGAACUGCGUCUGAUACUGGACGGCUUGAAUCCGGGAGAGGGAUGUGGAAUUCCAGGUGUAGCGGUGAAAUGCGUAGAUAUCUGGAGGAACACCGGUGGCGAAGGCGGCAUCCUGGACCGGUAUUGACGCUGAGGCGCGAAAGCCAGGGGAGCAAACGGG
rnacentral:rRNA from 1 species